GACGAACGCUGGCGGCGUGCUUAACACAUGCAAGUCGAACGAUGAAGCCUAGCUUGCUAGGUGGAUUAGUGGCGAACGGGUGAGUAAUACGUGAGUAACCUACCUUUAACUCUGGGAUAAGCCUGGGAAACUGGGUCUAAUACCGGAUACGACCAAUCUCCGCAUGGGGUGUUGGUGGAAAGCGUUAUGUAGUGGUUAUAGAUGGGCUCACGGCCUAUCAGCUUGUUGGUGAGGUAACGGCUCACCAAGGCGACGACGGGUAGCCGGCCUGAGAGGGUGACCGGCCACACUGGGACUGAGACACGGCCCAGACUCCUACGGGAGGCAGCAGUGGGGAAUAUUGCACAAUGGGCGCAAGCCUGAUGCAGCGACGCCGCGUGAGGGAUGACGGCCUUCGGGUUGUAAACCUCUGUUAGCAGGGAAGAAGAGAGAUUGACGGUACCUGCAGAGAAAGCGCCGGCUAACUACGUGCCAGCAGCCGCGGUAAUACGUAGGGCGCGAGCGUUGUCCGGAAUUAUUGGGCGUAAAGAGCUUGUAGGCGGUUUGUCGCGUCUGCUGUGAAGGCCGGAGCUUAACUCCGUGUAUUGCAGUGGGUACGGGCAGACUAGAGUGCAGUAGGGGAGACUGGAAUUCCUGGUGUAGCGGUGGAAUGCGCAGAUAUCAGGAGGAACACCGAUGGCGAAGGCAGGUCUCUGGGCUGUAACUGACGCUGAGAAGCGAAAGCAUGGGGAGCGAACAGGAUUAGAUACCCUGGUAGUCCAUGCCGUAAACGUUGGGCACUAGGUGUGGGGGACAUUCCACGUUUUCCGCGCCGUAGCUAACGCAUUAAGUGCCCCGCCUGGGGAGUACGGCCGCAAGGCUAAAACUCAAAGAAAUUGACGGGGGCCCGCACAAGCGGCGGAGCAUGCGGAUUAAUUCGAUGCAACGCGAAGAACCUUACCAAGGCUUGACAUAUACUGGACCGCAUCAGAGAUGGUGUUUCCCUUCGGGGCUGGUAUACAGGUGGUGCAUGGUUGUCGUCAGCUCGUGUCGUGAGAUGUUGGGUUAAGUCCCGCAACGAGCGCAACCCUCGUUCUAUGUUGCCAGCACGUUAUGGUGGGGACUCAUAGGAGACUGCCGGGGUCAACUCGGAGGAAGGUGGGGAUGACGUCAAAUCAUCAUGCCCCUUAUGUCUUGGGCUUCACGCAUGCUACAAUGGCCGGUACAGAGGGUUGCGAUACUGUGAGGUGGAGCUAAUCCCUAAAAGCCGGUCUCAGUUCGGAUUGGGGUCUGCAACUCGACCCCAUGAAGUCGGAGUCGCUAGUAAUCGCAGAUCAGCAACGCUGCGGUGAAUACGUUCCCGGGCCU
rnacentral:rRNA from 1 species